GACGAACGCUGGCGGCGUGCCUAAUACAUGCAAGUAGAACGCAGUUGCGAACGGGUGAGUAACGCGUAGGUAACUUCCUCAUAGCGGGGGAUAACUAUUGGAAACGAUAGCUAAUACCGCAUAAUGGGAGAUGGACCUGCGUUGUAAUAGGGAGUUGGGGAGGUAAAGGCUCACCAAGGCGCCGAUACAUACCCGACCUGAGAGGGGGGUCCGCCACACUGGGACUGAGGAACGGCCCAAGAUCCUACGGGGAGCAAGAGUAGGGAAGCUUCGGGAAUGGACGGAAAGCUGACCGAGCAACGCCGCCUGAGUUAAGAAGGUUUUCGGAACGUAAAGCUCUGUUGUUAGAGAAACGGUAACUAACCAGAAAGGGACGGCUAACUACGUGCCAGCAGCCGCGGUAAUUC
rnacentral:rRNA from 1 species